rnacentral:lncRNA from 1 species
GGCACUGCUAUCAUGGGGCACUGGUAACAAAUAAAUAUCACUUUGGAGGCCAUGUGCAGAUCAGAUUUGGAAGUGACCAAGACUGGAGGCAGGGACACCAGAGUUUUCUGUUAAAAACUGGUCCAUGCAAGAAAAGAUGACUCCUGAAAUAAGACAGUGAUCAUUAGGAUGAAGAGGAAGAGAAGAUUUGAGGAAUACUUAGAACAGAAUUUACUGAAUUUACUGGUUGAAUUGAAUGUGAAGAGGAGAUGAAUAAAGAAGAAAACACCCUCAAAGGAACAAAUAUGAAACAAUCUCUGGAAAAUGGAAUUUGAUUUUGAUUCAACAACAGGAGAAUUCUACUGUUUUUCUCCAGCAGCUCCACGAUAAAAGGGAACCCUGAGCAGAACACAUGCACAAACUCAUGCCAUACCCUAAGGGACAAGGUUCCCCACAUCUACUUGGAAAUCUUUGGGAUGCUCAAUGAUUAGCUCUUUGGAACUGAGAGAUGAGAUGAGGCCUGGAAAACUUCCCCCAGUACAGUCAAGUUCCUGUUGACUAAUUCUGUGACCACCAGUGACAGUCUUUGAGUCCGUGAGGCAGAGUUGCGGCAGCACAGGCUUUGCUUGGAGUUGGAUGGUUCGCACCCUGCUUGGCAUGGUUUCUAAGAGACAUCCUCUGAGUGGAUGAGGGGAGAAUCCAGCAGGCCUCUAGUCACACUGGAGAAAAACAAGGAGAGAAAAAUCUAAACCCAGCAGAAGAGAAAGUUUAAGAAAGCGGUCGUCGCCAAUACCAAAAUUAGCUAUGAUAUUCAGGAAGAAAAAAAUGGAAACACGAUAACCACAGUCAAUAAAGACCAAGGCCACAUUCCAUUGACCAGAGCUCAGCCACGCGCCACACCUGGCUAAAGAGACUCUGGCUGAAGAAUUCCCUGAAUAUUUUAAUGUAGCUCUAGGUUAUAACACAGAACAACCACAAGGUGGCAGAAGAACUCCAUUCUUGUAAAUCUCUUAGUUGCUUCUUUAUUUCAUCUUCCCUAUUCCAUCUAAUGUUCCCUGAAUUUUACUAUUUUGUUGGUUUGAAAAUAUGUGUGACUUACGUCCUUUAAAGGAUUUGGUUCGUAAGGUUUUGAAUAGACUGGAAUAUAAAACAUUUAUAGAAAAGAAAAAUACCUACAGUAUGAUGUUAGUGAACUAUUAAUAAUCCAAUUAAAUAAAAUAUAUUUGCUUUGGAUUAAUA